GAGAAGGAGGAGGAGGAGGAGGAGGAAGAGGAAGAAGAAGAAGAAGAAGAAGAAGAAGAAGAAGAAGAAGAAGAAGAAGAAGAAGUUGAUGCUUCCUGAAUGUGCACACAUGAACACACAAAGCUUCCCAUUCCUUUCUGCAGCUUUGCUUGAAACAUCAUAAAAGAUGAAGCUCAAACAAAAAAACUUACAUGGUUUAAAGAGAUCCCAAGAGGUACCAAAGGCACCAUACUUGAUGAUGUCACCUCCGAGAGGCACCAUUCAUUUUGUAUGCUGGGAAGGAGUUGUAGGUUUAUCAUCAGCAUAACAAUGCUUACAAUCUAAGAAGACAUGAC